GACGAACGCUGGCGGCGUGCUUAACACAUGCAAGUCGAACGGAAAGGCCCUGCUUUUGUGGGGUGCUCGAGUGGCGAACGGGUGAGUAACAAGUGAGUAACCUGCCCUUGACUUUGGGAUAACUUCAGGAAACUGGGGCUAAUAACGGAUAGGAGCUCCUGCUGCCUGGUGGGGGUUGGAAAGUUUCGGCGGUUGGGGAUGGACUCGCGGCUUAUCAGCUUGUUGGUGGGGUAGUGGCUUACCAAGGCUUUGACGGGUAGCCGGCCUGAGAGGGUGACCGGCCACAUUGGGACUGAGAUACGGCCCAGACUCCUACGGGAGGCAGCAGUGGGGAAUAUUGCACAAUGGGCGGAAGCCUGAUGCAGCAACGCCGCGUGCGGGAUGACGGCCUUCGGGUUGUAAACCGCUUUCGCCUGUGACGAAGCGUGAGUGACGGUAAUGGGUAAAGAAGCACCGGCUAACUACGUG
rnacentral:rRNA from 1 species